AGAUUGAACGCUGGCGGCAUGCCUUACACAUGCAAGUCGAACGGCAGCACGGGAGCAAUCCUGGUGGCGAGUGGCGAACGGGUGAGUAAUAUAUCGGAACGUGCCCAGUCGUGGGGGAUAACGCAGCGAAGCUGUGCUAAUACCGCAUACGAUCUAUGGAUGAAAGGCGGGGAUCGCAAGACCUCGCGCGAGUUGGAGCGGCCGAUAUCAGAUUAGCUUAGGUUGGGUAGGGUAAACGCCUACGAAGGCGACGAUCUGUAGCGUGGUCU
rnacentral:rRNA from 1 species